GAAAAACAAAUGCAGUGGAUUGAAACAAUACAAAUAUUUUUAAAUUCAUGGGUUCAUAAUGACACUAAAGAAACUCACUCACUAGUUCUCUCAAGAAGAUAUGAGAGAACCAAUUCAUUAUUUGGAAACUGGUAAAUGUAACUCCUCUAGCCCUGCUUAUUCUUUUUUUUUUUUUUUGAGAUUUUGAGUCUUGCUCUAUGGCCCAGACUGGAGUGCAGUGGCGUGAUCUCAGCUCACUUCAACCUCCACCUCCCGGGUUCGAGAGAGAUUCUCCUGCCUCAUCCUCCCGAGUAGCUGGGAUCACCGGCGCCCACAACCACACCCGGCUAAUUUUUGUACUUUUAGUGGAGACAGGGUUUCACCAUGUUGGCUAGGCUGGUCACAAACUCCCGACCUCAGGUUAUCCAUCUGCCUUGGCCUCCCAAAGUGCUGGGAUUACAGGCGUGAGCCCCCGCACCUGGCCAAGAUCAGCUAGAUUUUGGAAGCAUUGCCUUCUACAGAAUCCACAGUAGUCCGAAGCUCUUCUACGGUUUUUGUCAAACUUUGAUUUUCCAUCUCUAGCUUCAAUAAUCUACUUGAUGUCAACUCAUUCACCUCAUGGCCCAGGGAUUUCUGGGGUGCUAUAAUAUUGAAAAAUACACCAUUGUAUUUACUCUUUACUGUUUUUACUAUGUUUACUCUUUACUAUUUAAAAAGUUGAGUGUAUAUGCAUUGCAUCAUCUGAUCCUUAACUUUAUUAAAAAUUCAAUGAGGUUAUAUAAGAUAAACAAGAUAAAAGAAGUAAAUCUUUUUUUUCCUUUUCUUUUUUUCUUUUUUUUAAAGAGACGGGGUCUCUCUCUGUCACCCAGGCUGGAGUGCAGUGAUGUGCUCCUAGCUCACUGCAGCCUCAAACGCCUGGUCUGAAGGGAUCCUCCCACCUCAGUCUCCCAAGCGGCCGGGACUGCAGGUACAGCCAGCUAAUUUUUUUAUUUUUUAGUAAAGACUGGGUCUCUGUUACUUAGGCUGGUCUCGAACUCCUGAGCUCAAGCAAUCCUCCUGCCUUGGCCUCCCAAAGUGCUGGGAUUACAGGCAUGAGCCGCUGCACCCAGCUAAGAGAUACAUGUUUAACUUUUAAUGCAUCCACAGCAUUCUAGUUAAAAAAAGCAUAAAAUUUAGAUUGAAGAAAUUGGAGUUCAAGCAGACCCAUUAAAUAUUUUGCUGAUAUAAGAACAUUAGGAUUUACAAAUGAAAUAUGAGACCUACUAUUUCAAGAAAGGAAAUGAAUAAAGGUACUGGAGAGAAUUUCCGGGUCUGCUUUUGUGUAUGUUUCAAAUUCUUCUUCAUAAAAACCAAAGAAAUACACGCACAUCCAACAUAUCCCCCACCAUGCAAAAAAUCUCUUCAAAAUUAGAUAAGCAAAUAACCUCCAUAUUUAAGUAAAGAAAAUCUCAAUUUUUAUUUCCAGCUUUUCUAGUCAUCAUGUUGUUAAUCUUUUACUGAAAGCUGGUAUACCGAAUAGUUACUAACUUUUAAAAUUCCAUUAGUUGCCUAAGUCUUUUUUUUAAUUAAAAGAUUAUUUAAAUUUAACUAUAAACUUACAGGAUACAUUAUUCUAAGUAG
rnacentral:lncRNA from 1 species